rnacentral:rRNA from 1 species
UCUACGGGGCGCAGCAGUGGGGAAUAUUGCACAAUGGGGGAAACCCUGAUGCAGCGACGCCGCGUGGGUGAAGGAGUAUUUCGGUAUGUAAAGCCCUAUCAGCAGGGAAGAGAAUGACGGUACCUGACUAAGAAGCCCCGGCGAACUACGUGCCAGCAGCCGCGGUAAUACGUAGGGGGCAAGGGUUAUCCGGAUUUACUGGGUGUAAAGGGAGCGUAGACGGCAGCGCAAGCCUGGAGGGAAAGGCUGGGGCCCAACCCCAUGACUGCUCUGGGAACUGUGCGGCUCGAGUGCCGGAGGGGUAAGCGGCAUUCCUAGUGUAGCGGUGACCUGCGUAGCUAUUAGGAGG